GCCAUAAAAGUGAAAACCAAGCUGACUUGCCCAGCGAGGUCUUGCACUCUCUUCUGGUUGUGGUGCUUCGUGUGAGAGCCUGAGCCAAGGCUGGGAUAAAGGCAGUGCCAGAAAUACCCAGUGUGAGGCAGUGGAAGGGCUCUAACAGGAGCUUCCUGGAUCCUGGGUCAGCAUUUAGGGUGUAAUGGUCAACACAGCUGUGUCAUCUUCUGAAUCCAACAACAUCAACUGACUGAAGAGCUGGUCCUCAGUUCAGCACUGUGCUC